rnacentral:rRNA from 1 species
AUUGAACGCUGGCGGCAGGCCUAACACAUGCAAGUCGGACGGUAGCACAGAGGAGCUCGCUCCUUGGGUGACGAGUGGCGGACGGGUGAGUAAUGUCUGGGGAUCUGCCCGAUAGAGGGGGAUAACCACUGGAAACGGUGGCUAAUACCGCAUAACGUCGCAAGACCAAAGAGGGGGACCUUCGGGCCUCUCACUAUCGGAUGAACCCAGAUGGGAUUAGCUAGUAGGCGGGGUAAUGGCCCACCUAGGCGACGAUCCCUAGCUGGUCUGAGAGGAUGACCAGCCACACUGGAACUGAGACACGGUCCAGACUCCUACGGGAGGCAGCAGUGGGGAAUAUUGCACAAUGGGCGCAAGCCUGAUGCAGCCAUGCCGCGUGUAUGAAGAAGGCCUUCGGGUUGUAAAGUACUUUCAGCGGGGAGGAAGGCGGUGAGGUUAAUAACCUCGCCGAUUGACGUUACUCGCAGAAUAAGCACCGGCUAACUCUGUGCCAGCCGCCGCCGUAA